rnacentral:tRNA from 1 species
CGGGCUGUGGCCUAGUGGACUAGGGCGCACGCAUGGGGUGCGUGAGAUCGUGGGUUCAAAUCCCGCCAGCCCGA